AGUGAACGCUGGCGGUAGGCCUAACACAUGCAAGUCGAACGGCAGCACAGUAAGAGCUUGCUCUUACGGGUGGCGAGUGGCGGACGGGUGAGGAAUACAUCGGAAUCUACUUUUUCGUGGGGGAUAACGUAGGGAAACUUACGCUAAUACCGCAUACGACCUACGGGUGAAAGCAGGGGAUCUUCGGACCUUGCGCGAUUGAAUGAGCCGAUGUCGGAUUAGCUAGUUGGCGGGGUAAAGGCCCACCAAGGCGACGAUCCGUAGCUGGUCUGAGAGGAUGACCAGCCCACCUGGAAUGGAAACACGGUCCAACCCCCUAGGGGAGGCAGCAGUGGGGAAUUUUGGCAAAGGGGCGAAAGCCUGUCCCAGCCAUCCCGGGGGGGUGAAGAAGGCCUUCGGGUUGUAAAGCCCUUUUGUUGGGAAAAAAAAGCAGCAGGUUAACCCCCCGCUGUUCUGACGGAACCAAAAGAAUAAGCACCGGCAAACUUCGU
rnacentral:rRNA from 1 species